rnacentral:rRNA from 1 species
ACGGGUGAGUAACGCGUGGGUAACCUGCCUUAUACAGGGGGAUAACAGUCAGAAAUGGCUGCUAAUACCGCAUAAGCGCACAGAGCUGCAUGGCUCAGUGUGAAAAACUCCGGUGGUAUAAGAUGGACCCGCGUUGGAUUAGCUAGUUGGUGGGGUAACGGCCCACCAAGGCGACGAUCCANAGCCGGCCUGAGAGGGUGAACGGCCACAUUGGGACUGAGACACGGCCCAGACUCCUACGGGAGGCAGCAUG